GACGAACCGUGCAAACGUUGUUCGGAAUCACUGGGCUUAAAGGGUGUGUAGGCGGGUCUUCUAGUCUGGGGUGAAAGCCUCCAGCUUAACUGGAGAAGUGCCGUGGAUACUGGAGACCUCGAGGAGGGUAGGGGCAUCUGGAACGGUCGGUGGAGCGGUGAAAUGCGUUGAUAUCGACCGGAACUCCGGUGGCGAAGGCGAGGUGCUGGGCCCUUUCUGACGCUGAAACACGAAAGCCAGGGGAGCAAACGGG
rnacentral:rRNA from 1 species